GACAGAGGGGGCAAGCGUUGCUCGGAAUUACUGGGCGUAAAGGGCGCGUAGGCGGAAUGGCAAGUCGGUCGUGAAAUCCUUCGGCUCAACUGAAGAACGUCGAUCGAAGCUCGCCUGUUCUUGAGGAUUGCAGAGGAGACUGGAAUUCCCGGUGUAGCGGUGAAAUGUGUAGAGAUCGGGAGGAACACCGGUGGCGAAGGCGGGUCUCUGGGCAAUUCCUGACGCUGAGGCGCGAAAGCGUGGGGAGCAAACGGG
rnacentral:rRNA from 1 species